GGGGAGCGUUCUGUAAGCCUGCGAAGGUGGCCUGUGAGGGUUGCUGGAGGUAUCAGAAGUGCGAAUGCUGACAUAAGUAACGAUAAAGCGGGUGAAAAGCCCGCUCGCCGGAAGACCAAGGGUUCCUGUCCAACGUUAAUCGGGGCAGGGUGAGUCGACCCCUAAGGCGAGGCCGAAAGGCGUAGUCGAUGGGAAACGGGUUAAUAUUCCCGUACUUGGUGUUACUGCGAAGGGGGGACGGAGAAGGCUAUGUUGGCCGGGCGACGGUUGUCCCGGUUUAAGCGUGUAGGUGUGUGUUCCAGGUAAAUCCGGUUCACUUUAACACUGAGGCGUGAUGACGAGGCACUACGGUGCUGAAGCAACAAAUGCCCUGCUUCCAGGAAAAGCCUCUAAGCAUCAGGUAACAUCAAAUCGUACCCCAAACCGACACAGGUGGUCAGGUAGAGAAUACCAAGGCGCUUGAGAGAACUCGGGUGAAGGAACUAGGCAAAAUGGUGCCGUAACUUCGGGAGAAGGCACGCUGACACGUAGGUGAAGUGAUUUACUCAUGGAGCUGAAGUCAGUCGAAGAUACCAGCUGGCUGCAACUGUUUAUUAAAAACACAGCACUGUGCAAACACGAAAGUGGACGUAUACGGUGUGACGCCUGCCCGGUGCCGGAAGGUUAAUUGAUGGGGUCAGCGCAAGCGAAGCUCCUGAUCGAAGCCCCGGUAAACGGCGGCCGUAACUAUAACGGUCCUAAGGUAGCGAAAUUCCUUGUCGGGUAAGUUCCGACCUGCACGAAUGGCGUAAUGAUGGCCAGGCUGUCUCCACCCGAGACUCAGUGAAAUUGAACUCGCUGUGAAGAUGCAGUGUACCCGCGGCAAGACGGAAAGACCCCGUGAACCUUUACUAUAGCUUGACACUGAACAUUGAGCCUUGAUGUGUAGGAUAGGUGGGAGGCUUUGAAGUGUGGACGCCAGUCUGCAUGGAGCCGGCCUUGAAAUACCACCCUUUAAUGUUUGAUGUUCUAACGUGGACCCGUGAUCCGGGUUGCGGACAGUGUCUGGUGGGUAGUUUGACUGGGGCGGUCUCCUCCUAAAGAGUAACGGAGGAGCACGAAGGUUGGCUAAUCCUGGUCGGACAUCAGGAGGUUAGUGCAAUGGCAUAAGCCAGCUUGACUGCGAGCGUGACGGCGCGAGCAGGUGCGAAAGCAGGUCAUAGUGAUCCGGUGGUUCUGAAUGGAAGGGCCAUCGCUCAACGGAUAAAAGGUACUCCGGGGAUAACAGGCUGAUACCGCCCAAGAGUUCAUAUCGACGGCGGUGUUUGGCACCUCGAUGUCGGCUCAUCACAUCCUGGGGCUGAAGUAGGUCCCAAGGGUAUGGCUGUUCGCCAUUUAAAGUGGUACGCGAGCUGGGUUUAGAACGUCGUGAGACAGUUCGGUCCCUAUCUGCCGUGGGCGCUGGAGAACUGAGGGGGGCUGCUCCUAGUACGAGAGGACCGGAGUGGACGCAUCACUGGUGUUCGGGUUGUCAUGCCAAUGGCACUGCCCGGUAGCUAAAUGCGGAAGAGAUAAGUGCUGAAAGCAUCUAAGCACGAAACUUGCCCCGAGAUGAGUUCUCCCUGAGACUUUAGGUCUCCUGAAGGAACGUUGAAGACGACGACGUUGAUAGGCCGGGUGUGUAAGCGCAGCGAUGCGUUGAGCUAACCGGUACUAAUGAACCGUGAGGCUUAACCUUACA
rnacentral:rRNA from 1 species